rnacentral:rRNA from 1 species
GACGGAGGGUGCAAGCGUUGUUCGGAUUGACUGGGCGUAAAGGGCGUGUAGGCGGUUGGUCAAGUCCGAUGUGAAAGCCCGGGGCUCAGCUUCGGAAGUGCAUCGGAAACUAGCCAGCUGGAGCGCGAUAGAGGAGGGCGGAAUUCCUGGUGUAGCGGUGAAAUGACGCAGAUAUCAGGAGGAACACCAAUGGCGAAGGCAGCUCGCUGGGACGUGACUGACGCUGGAGACGCGAAAGCGUGGGGAGCAAACAGG